AGGAAAUUCCCACACCUUGUGUUCCGGUUAUCUGUAGACACAUGUUUCCUGAAAGGAAAAUGACUCAGUGAAUAAAUAAGGUGCUGUGAACACCCAGAAUCCUAGAGAUUCAAAACAAUCCUCAAAAAUCAGAACAUAGGUGCUGUUCAUCUGCAAGAGAUACUCACUAUGUUGGCAGCUUGGAAAGACUCCCUGAAGCACAUAGUGAUGGAGCUCAGUGGUAUGAAAGAACCUCCUACUGCAUUUAUACCAAGAACAAACAUUGCUGGCAUAAUGGUGAAUGGACUUCAAGGUGUUCAGAGAACACUAACUAAGCUUUGUAGUCUUCUUAUGUUUCUUUGUUUUUCUUGUUCAUCAGAGUUGAUGAACCCCAUAAAAGAAAUUCAAUAUAUC
rnacentral:lncRNA from 1 species